ACGGGUGAGUAAUAUAUCGGAACGUGCCCAAUCGUGGGGGAUAACGUAGAGAAAUUUACGCUAAUACCGCAUACGAUCUAAGGAUGAAAGCGGGGGAUCGCAAGACCUCGCGCGAUUGGAGCGGCUGAUAUCAGAUUAGGUUGUUGGUGAGGUAAAAGCUCACCAAGCCGACGAUCUGUAGCUGGUUUGAGAGAACGACCAGCCACACUGGGACUGAGACACGGCCCAGACUCCUACGGGAGGCAGCAGUGGGGAAUUUUGGACAAUGGGCGAAAGCCUGAUCCAGCAAUGCCGCGUGCAGGAAGAAGGCCUUCGGGUUGUAAACUGCUUUUGUACGGAACGAAACGGCUCUUUCUAAUAAAGAGGGCUAAUGACGGUACCGUAAGAAUAAGCACCGGCUAACUACGUGCCAGCAGCCGCGGUAAUACGUAGGGUGCGAGCGUUAAUCGGAAUUACUGGGCGUAAAGCGUGCGCAGGCGGUUAUAUAAGACAGUUGUGAAAUCCCCGGGCUCAACCUGGGAAUUGCAUCUGUGACUGUAUAGCUAGAGUACGGUAGAGGGGGAUGGAAUUCCGCGUGUAGCAGUGAAAUGCGU
rnacentral:rRNA from 6 species